UUUCUGUCAGUGGAGAAGUUAGGAUUUUAAUUUAUUAGGGUCAAAAUUUUGUGAUGUUAUAAAUGAUUUAAUUUUAUAUUUUUUUAUCAGUUUUAUAUAUAAAAUAUGUAUUUUGUUAUAAUUAAUAUUUUUAAUAUAAUAAAUAAUAACAUUAUAUAUAUAUACACCCCUUAUUGACCCUUAAUACGUCUUUCUAAUAAUAAAUUUAUUAAUAAAUAUUUAAAUUUCUUAUGUUAUAAAAAUAAUAUAAAUUAAAUUAAUAUUUAUUUUAAAAAUAUUAGAGGAAGAAGCAUACAUCAAGGAGUAGAAAUAGUAUAGAAUUGAGAAAGUUAUAAAAAAUUCUAUUUGACCCCGUAUAUUAAAAAAUUUAUAAAAUUUCAAUGAGGUCAAUUUAUUCAUUAUAAUUAAAUAUCUUCUAAAUUUAUCAUAUAUUAUAAAAUAAAUUUUUUUUCCAAUGAAAUCAAUUGACCCCACCCCUUGACUGUGGCUUCGCCCCUGUUUUCAGUCAUGUUUCAUAGAUUGCGAAAAAUAUAUUUUCCUUUUUUUUAGUGACCACUGAUUUGCGACAAUACUUGAAAACAAAAUUGUGAUGAGAUCCUUUUUUUUUGUUAUAUUUUUUGUCUGAAAUCCCUUUGAAGUGUCCCUUUUAAAUGUUUUCUGGUACGAUCGGAAUGGUUAUGCAUGCAUGGUUGAUAUUUUUAUAUGAUUUUUUGAUAUUUUUAUAUGAAAAGUGUAGCUAUAGAGAUGUAUAGCGACGGCAAAAACCGCUGUUAAAGAAUUUAUAGCGACGAUUUUCAUGUGAAAAUAUUAAUUUUCUAUUUAGAAUUUCACCUUUACAAUAGAUAAAGGGAACUGAUAUUUUCAUAUAAAAAAUUGAUAUUUUCACAUAAUUCCUCUCACAUGAAUAGUGAGUGAGUCCCACAUCCAUAUUGUGAGAGAGACUCGUUUAAAAAUAUCAUUUUAACAUGUAAAAAUAUCAAUUUCCUAGAUAAACUAUGCCGUCAAACUACAUAAAAUUAAAUUCUUAUCAAAAAUAAAAACAAAAGAAAAUACUUGGAUUUUUUUUUGCAGAUCAAAGUAGUUUUUUACUAUAAUUAUUCAUACACAACAAGGCCAGAGUGCCAUAAACUUUUGCUACAUGGACAUUAUUCAAGAUACUAAAGGUUAGCCUCAUAGUAAUAAUUAGCCAACCCUAGCACUCAUAACUAUUUUACAUAGAUAAUACUCCCAAAAGCAUUAAUUAAACAAGACAGUAGUCCAUUUUGUAGCCGUACCAUUUGUGCUAUAUUAUAGAAUUGGUCCUCGGAUCCGCAAUUUUCAUUUUAGAAGGUAGUGUUACGAAUUUGAGGCGGUAGUCAUCAGUAGCGUCAUCGGUAGGGCAAUCUACGAACCUUGUUGCUUGUUGGUUCAUGCAUACAUUAAUAUCCGUAAGCACAUAUUCUGAGUUUUCGUUUUUGGUGAAAUCGAUUUCUGGCACAGCAUUCAAGUGCUUUUUGAUUGCUUCUUUUAUCAUUUUAGGACGAUAAAGGUCGUUAUUCGGGUGAAUCCCUACACAUUUUUGAAUAGUAAUCUCAUCAAACUCACAUUAUCAUUUUACUUAGGAAGCAAUGAACCAAAUUAAAGACUAUUUAAUUAUAUAUGAAUGGGUAUGUUUACCUUCCUGGUUUAGUAGCCCAAUUAUAUCAAAUGCUUUUCUAAAAGCAAGCGCCGUUCUAAAAUAAUCAGUCUGCUUCAACAAUGCUUCUGAACACCUUCCAUGUUUCUUCCACUCGUAUUCCCAGAAUUGUACGUCCUCGGUGUUAGUUUCAUGACUCGGCCAUGCAAGAUGCAUUUCUGCUCGAAAGUCCGAUACCUUUAAUUUUCAAAAUGAAGGAGGAGAGAUAUUAGUUUAACAUAUGUGAGUAUGUAUGGAUAUAUUGCAUGUACACUUUCAAUUUUUUAUCAAACAAACUUAUGACUUAUCCAACUCUUCAAGAUAUAUAUAAAUGUUACCACAAAAAAAAAACAUAUUUAAUAGACAAUAGAGCAAGAAUUUUAAGUAGUAAAUUAAAUGCAGACCGAGAGAACUCACAGAGUUAACAUCAAAGGCAGUUCCGUCACAAUAUAACCCUGGGGUCCCCUUCUCGUUAUAGGGAUAAAGGCCGUGAAUGGUAAAUGUGUUGAGGAGAGACUUUGUAUCACAGGCAUUGUUGACCUCGCAAAAUCCAGCUGGCCAUUGAAGCCUUAGGGCAAACAUUGCCAAUGGAUAAUCUGAUCGAGCAUUCCCACCCCAAGAGAAAAUGCUCAAGCUCACUAUAAUGAUGCUGAUAAUAUAUAUUGCCCUCAUGAUCUCUUCAAACUUCAACAACUUUUUUCUUAAGAAAUGAAGUGUGUGUUUUCUGUGAUCUCUAGACUUCCAUGCAUACCCUUUUAUAGUCACCAGUUCUUUUUUAAUUAUAAUAAGAAAAAACUUAUAAAAUAUUUUUAUUUAUAUUUUUGAGUGUUAAUUUAUCCGUAA
rnacentral:lncRNA from 1 species